rnacentral:rRNA from 1 species
UACGUAGGGGUCGAGCGUUGUCCGGAGUUACUGGGCGUAAAGCGCGCGCAGGCGGCGCGAUAAGACCGGCGUGAAAGCCCCCGGCUCAACCGGGGAGGGUCGUUGGUGACUGUCGCGCUUGAAGGCAGCAGGGGCGAGUGGAAUUCCCGGUGUAGUGGUGAAAUGCGUAGAGAUCGGGAGGAACACCCGUGGCGAAGGCGGCUCACUGGGCUGACCUUGACGCUGAGGCGCGAAGGCGUGGGGAGCGAACGGG